rnacentral:ribozyme from 13 species
GCAAAAAAAAAAAAAAAAAAAAAAAAAAAAAAAAAAAAAAAAAAAAAA